CAGUGUCAGAGUGCCGGCAGUUUCACUGCCUCACAGGUGUUGCUAAUUAAAUCAUGUGAAGCCACUUAGCCAUAAUUAAUAUUAUCUACACCGGUAUUAGUGUGGCUGUUACAUGUCAAAAAUAUCUUUCAUGAGAAACUACAACUCUGGAUAAACCUUCACCAGACCAAAGAGGAUUUAACAUGUUGACAAGGGAGAAGAGAAGCUGGAGCAGCUCUGCAGGGAGCAAAGAACCUCCAUCUAAGAGGCACACUGAAGAGAAGUUUCAAAGAGAAACUCGCAAGAAUAGAUGUGAGUCAUCCUCUGGAGGAUAGCAAAUGGUGACCCUGUUUACUGAGCUCUGACACCCACCAAAGGAUUUCCACCCGGGCUUCCAUUCUUUCCUCCAUGGUGCUGUACUCUGCACGACAAGACCAGAGGGCCUCUGCAUUAAGACUUGCAUCAGGGCAGCCAUGUAAAAAGGAAGCCGCCUGCUGAUUGGCUACUGAGUUUUGGAGCGACCGCUCAAUGGACUGUCUGGAACUCGUUCCCAAGUUUCCCCCGUGGACAUCAGACAACAGAAUUGUGAUGCUGAUGUGCGUGGCCAAUUGGAUCAAGUUGGAUGCCUUGAUUUUGACUGGAGGGGGAGAGCUGCAGUUACUAAUGCCAUACUGCGAGAGCCGACUGUAGGAGGCGAAAAGUGGAGACGAUUUACCCGGAGGGAGUGGAAAUCGCCGGCCAGCUCAGCGUAGCAUGGAGUGGGAAAAUGAUGACGAUAACUUCCUGCCUGUGUGAGAAACAUCGGCCAAACAGAGGCUACAGUCGCAACUGGCCUAUGCAGCG